GAUGAACGCUGGCGGCGUGCCUAAUACAUGCAAGUCGAGCGAAUGGAUUGAGAGCUUGCUCUUAUGAAGUUAGCGGCGGACGGGUGAGUAACACGUGGGUAACCUGCCCAUAAGACUGGGAUAACUCCGGGAAACCGGGGCUAAUACCGGAUAACAUUUUGAACCGCAUGGUUCGAAAUUGAAAGGCGGCUUCGGCUGUCACUUAUGGAUGGACCCGCGUCGCAUUAGCUAGUUGGUGAGGUAACGGCUCACCAAGGCAACGAUGCGUAGCCGACCGGAGAGUGUGAUCGGCCACACUGGGACUGAGACACGGCCCAGACUCCUACGGGAGGCAGCAGUAGGGAAUCUUCCGCAAUGGACGAAAGUCUGACGGAGCAACGCCGCGUGAGUGAUGAAGGCUUUCGGGUCGUAAAACUCUGUUGUUAGGGAAGAACAAGUGCUAGUUGAAUAAGCUGGCACCUUGACGGUACCUAACCAGAAAGCCACGGCUAACUACGUGCCAGCAGCCGCAGUAA
rnacentral:rRNA from 1 species